AUCACUUAAAUUGUGGCCGAAACGCUCUCAUAAAAAAAGCAAAGGGGACAACGUUUAAAAAAUAAAUAAAUAAAAUAAAAUAAAAAAAUAGUAGUUUAGCAGCGCACCUGUUUCCCAUCAGAGUUGUCAGAGCUUCUGGAACUUUCCUCUUCAGUCCCGGCGGAGGAACAUUCUGGGUCGCUGUCUUUGCUCUUUUUGAACAGGUUUUGAAGACUCAGGCCUUGGUACAGCUGGAGACAACAACAACUUAGGCUCUUCUGCGUACUGUAGUGCAAAGGUUUACCGCCGUCCACGUUCAGCAAGUCCCCUCGAACGUCAUUUUGAGAUUUGGAAAUCUCUAGAAACAGGAAGACCAAGUGACAUAAGCAGUUUGUCCCUCCGAAGCACUUCCAGGAUCCUGUCCCUCUCCUGUCCUUGAAGCAAACCCAAGUCCAUCGAUGGUCCUUCUGGCUGAGGUUCCACUUUUCUCUCCCUUUUUCACUCAAAGGCCCGCCCCUCUCAGUCCUCUGCAGCUGAGAGAUUGAAGAAGUGUUUCAUAUAAAAGGUUAUCUCUCCCAUGAUUGUCAUCUCUGCUGCGUUCCACGUCAGUACCAUAUAUAGACUUCCUGUCCCGAACACAGUGCGACUGUUUUCUGCCUGGACUUCCUGAAUAGAAGUAUCCUCGUAUAUCAUAUUCAUAAUCUUUGCCUGCAGCAAGAACGCCUUUUGUGUCUGCUCAUGGUCUUUCCUCUUUCAAUCCCGUUGACCUGCAUUGAUUGACCGGCUGCAAACCAAAGGCAAAUGUCAACCUUUGCAUUAUUGAUGGCUCCUCUUCAGUCUGGGUCUCACUUCGUUACGUAAUCUCAUGUUCACGUCUACUUUCAUUUUUAAUGGGGACACUGCUUACUCAUCUCACUUUGAACCAAAUGAGCACACCUCGAACGCAUUUUCCUCUGAAGCGCAAGAACGGGGGCAGCGGGAUUGGAAAAAAAAGCUUUGUAUGAGUAAUGAAGUGGCACGCGUCAUUGAUUAUUUCGUUUUAAUUGUUACCAUUCUCUUCUUCCCGUCCCUUAAACCAGUGGUUCUCAAAUGGGGGUACGCGUACCCCUGGGGGUACUUGAAGGUAUGCCAAGGGGUACUGAGAUUUUUUAAAAAAUAUUCUAAAAAUGGCAACAAUUAAAAAAUCCUUUAUAAAUAUAUUUAUUGAAUAAUACUUCAACGAAAUAUAAAUGUAAGUUCAUAAGCUGUGAAAAUAAAUGCAACAAUGCAAUAUUCAGUGUUGGCAGCUAGAUUUUUUGUGGACAUGUUCCAUAAAUAUUGAUGUUAAAAAUUUCUUUUUUUGUGGUGAAAUGUUUAGAAUGAAGUUCAUGAAUCCAGAUGGAUCUCUAUUACAAUCCCCAAAGAGGGCACUUUAAGUUGAUGAUU